rnacentral:rRNA from 1 species
UACGUAGGGAGCAAGCGUUGUCCGGAAUCAUUGGGCGUAAAGCGCGUGUAGGCGGUUACAUAAGUCUGUUGUGAAAGUCGGAGGCUCAACCUUCGAAAGCCGAUGGAUACUGUGUGACUUGAGUUCGGGAGAGGGAUGCGGAAUUCCAGGUGUAGCGGUGAAAUGCGUAGAUAUCUGGAGGAACACCGGUGGCGAAGGCGGCAUCCUGGACCGACACUGACGCUGAGGAGCGAAAGCCAGGGGAGCAAACGGG